rnacentral:rRNA from 1 species
UACGUAGGGUGCGAGCGUUGUCCGGAAUUAUUGGGCGUAAAGGGCUCGUAGGCGGUUUGUCACGUCGGGAGUGAAAACUCAGGGCUUAACCCUGAGCCUGCUUCCGAUACGGGCAGACUAGAGGUAUGCAGGGGAGAACGGAAUUCCUGGUGUAGCGGUGAAAUGCGCAGAUAUCAGGAGGAACACCGGUGGCGAAGGCGGAUCUCUGGGCCGAUACUGACGCUGAGGAGCGAAAAGCGUGGGGGAGCGAACAGG